AGUGAACGCUGGCGGUAGGCCUAACACAUGCAGGUCGAACGGCAGCACAGUAAGAGCUUGCUCUUACGGGUGGCGAGUGGCGGACGGGUGAGGAAUACAUCGGAAUCUACUUUUUCGUGGGGGAUAACGUAGGGAAACUUACGCUAAUACCGCAUACGACCUACGGGUGAAAGCAGGGGAUCUUCGGACCUUGCGCGAUUGAAUGAGCCGAUGUCGGACUAGCUAGUUGGCGGGGUAAAGGCCCACCAAGGCGACGAUCCGUAGCUGGUCUGAGAGGAUGAUCAGCCACACUGGAACUGAGACACGGUCCAGACUCCUACGGGAGGCAGCAGUGGGGAAUAUUGGACAAUGGGCGCAAGCCUGAUCCAGCCAUACCGCGUGGGUGAAGAAGGCCUUCGGGUUGUAAAGCCCUUUUGUUGGGAAAGAAAAGCAGCAGGUUAAUACCCCGCUGUUCUGACGGUACCCAAAGAAUAAGCACCGGCUAACUUCGUG
rnacentral:rRNA from 1 species